GAUGAACGCUGGCGGCGUGCCUAAUACAUGCAAGUCGAGCGAACAGACGAGGAGCUUGCUCCUCUGACGUUAGCGGCGGACGGGUGAGUAACACGUGGAUAACCUACCUAUAAGACUGGGAUAACUUCGGGAAACCGGAGCUAAUACCGGAUAAUAUAUUGAACCGCAUGGUUCAAUAGUGAAAGACGGUUUUGCUGUCACUUAUAGAUGGAUCCGCGCCGCAUUAGCUAGUUGGUAAGGUAACGGCUUACCAAGGCAACGAUGCGUAGCCGACCUGAGAGGGUGAUCGGCCACACUGGAACUGAGACACGGUCCAGACUCCUACGGGAGGCAGCAGUGGGGAAUAUUCCGCAAUGGGCGAAAGCCUGACGGAGCAACGCCGCGUGAGUGAUGAAGGUCUUCGGAUCGUAAAACUCUGUUAUUAGGGAAGAACAAAUGUGUAAGUAACUAUGCACGUCUUGACGGUACCUAAUCAGAAAGCCACGGCUAACUACGUG
rnacentral:rRNA from 1 species